rnacentral:rRNA from 1 species
GUGGGGAAUCUUAGACAAUGGGCGCAAGCCUGAUCUAGCCAUGCCGCGUGAGCGAUGAAGGCCUUAGGGUUGUAAAGCUCUUUCGUGGGGGAAGAUAAUGACUGUACCCCAAGAAGAAGCCCCGGCUAACUCCGUGCCAGCAGCCGCGGUAAUACGGAGGGGGCUAGCGUUGUGCGGAAUUACUGGGCGUAAAGCGCACGUAGGCGGACUGGAAAGUCAGGGGUGAAAUCCCGGGGCUCAACCCCGGAACUGCCUUUGAAACUCCCAGUCUUGAGUUCGAGAGAGGUGAGUGGAAUUCCGAGUGUAGAGGUGAAAUUCGUAGAUAUUCGGAGGAACACCAGUGGCGAAGGCGGCUCACUGGCUCGAUACUGACGCUGAGGUGCGAAAGCGUGGGGAGCAAACAGGAUUAGAAACCCCAGUAGUCC